CUGACAUGUGUGCGAGUCAACGG
rnacentral:snRNA from 1 species